rnacentral:rRNA from 1 species
UGCGAAGGGGGCUAGCGUUGUUCGGAAUUACUGGGCGUAAAGCGCACGUAGGCGGAUAUUUAAGUCAGGGGUGAAAUCCCAGAGCUCAACUCUGGAACUGCCUUUGAUACUGGGUAUCUUGAGUAUGGAAGAGGUAAGUGGAAUUGCGAGUGUAGAGGUGAAAUUCGUAGAUAUUCGCAGGAACACCAGUGGCGAAGGCGGCUUACUGGUCCAUAACUGACGCUGAGGUGCGAAAGCGUGGGGGAGCAAACAGG